CAUCCCGGCCAGUCUUGGAUACAGAAAAAUAAUGGACUUCUAUAAGAGUUGCAACACCGCGUCGUUUCCUAGACAACAAACAGUGCAGGCGUCAUCCCUGGAAACACCCAUAAAAACGCAAGUCAAAUGACCACACCUGUAUUUCAAGGUUGCAAAGACGAGGGCCAUGAAAUGGCACUACCAUGUUAAUGGGUAUGAUUCAUUGUAUGACACACUGCUUUCCUACAGAUGAUGACAAUUGACACCAUCCCCGAGGAAUGUUAGCAUGGACAAAGUUUCCACGCAGUCUGGCCACUAAUUGCGAUCUGCAAAUGUUUAGAAACUUAAUUGUUUUAUUCUUUCUAAAACUGACCUUUUUUAUCUGUUAAUACUCUAUGCAUAUGUUGACUUUAAACAUUGCAAAAAGAUUAAAAACCAAAAAAUGAACAGCG